rnacentral:rRNA from 1 species
GCUUGUCUCAAAGAUUAAGCCAUGCAUGUCUAAGUAUAAGUAUUAUACAGCGAAACUGCGAAUGGCUCAUUAAAACAGUUAUAGUUUACAUGAUAAUCGAAUUUACAUGGAUAACCGUGGUAAUUCUAGAGCUAAUACAUGCUGGCGUGCCCGACUUUUGCGGAAGGGCGGUAUUUAUUAGAUAACAAGCCAAUAUUCCUCCGGGUCUAUUGUGGUGAUUCAUAAUAACUGAUCGAAUCGCAAGGCCUUUGGCCGCGAUAAGUCAUUCAAGUUUCUGCCCCAUCAGCUUUCGAUGGUAGUGUAUUGGACUACCAUGGCGUUCACGGGUAACGGAGAAUUAGGGUUCGAUUCCGGAGAGGGAGCCUGAGAAACGGCUACCACAUCUAAGGAAGGCAGCAGG